GACAGAGGGUGCAAACGUUGUUCGGAAUUACUGGGCGUAAAGCGCGUGUAGGCGGUUCGAUAAGUCGGAUGUGAAAGCCCCGGGCUCAACCCGGGAAGUGCACUCGAUACUGUCGAGCUAGAGUAUCGGAGAGGUUGGUGGAAUUCUCGGUGUAGAGGUGAAAUUCGUAGAUAUCGAGAGGAACACCGGUGGCGAAGGCGGCCAACUGGACGAAUACUGACGCUGAGACUCGAAAGCGUGGGGAGCAAACAGG
rnacentral:rRNA from 1 species